AUUGAACGCUGGCGGAAUGCUUUACACAUGCAAGUCGAGCGGCAGCGCGGGGCAACCUGGCGGCGAGCGGCGAACGGGUGAGUAAUGCAUCGGAACAUGUCCAUGUCGUGGGGGAUAGCCCGGCGAAAGCCGGAUUAAUACCGCAUACGCCCGAGAGGGGAAAGUGGGGGACCGCAAGGCCUCACGCGAUUGGGUUGGCCGAUGUCCGAUUAGCUUGUUGGUGAGGUAAAGGCUUACCAAGGCGAUGAUCGGUAGCUGGUCUGAGAGGAUGAUCAGCCACACUGGGACUGAGACACGGCCCAGACUCCUACGGGAGGCAGCAGUGGGGAAUUUUGGACAAUGGGGGCAACCCUGAUCCAGCCAUUCCGCGUGAGUGAAGAAGGCCUUCGGGUUGUAAAGCUCUUUUGUCCGGAGCGAAACGGUACGGGUGAAUAUCCCGUGCUACUGACGGUACCGGAAGAAUAAGCACCGGCUAACUACGUGCCAGCAGCCGCAGUAAAAC
rnacentral:rRNA from 1 species